AAACUGAAAGUGAGAUCAUAACUCAGUAACUGUUUCACAUACGGACUCAGAACUUGGUGUAGGGACCAAAAAUGCAUUUGAGCCCUGGUGAGGGCUACAAUAAGCAGAAACAUAAUUUUCCAAUCAUUGUUUACAGUCAUGCUUUUAUUACAAUCAGAUCAAGUUGCCAUGGUACCUAUGGCCUGCCAAGCUAGUUAUAUUUAAUUAAGAGGAGUUUCUUUAUGAUUUUUGAAAAUAAUUGUUCAGAUAGAAUUAGUAAACUACACAUACUAUAUUGUGCUUAGGAACUAAAAUGUGUUUUUGUUCUUGUUGAACAGACCUUUCUCUCUACAUUCAGAAGGGGAGGAACUUGGAUUGGUUUGAAUGACAAAGAAAAAGAGGGCACCUGGACAUGGGUAGAUGGAACUCCUCUGACUCUGAGUUAUUGGGAGAACAACCAGCCUGACAACGGUGGUGGAAGUUCACUGUAUGGUGAAGAGGACUGUGCACACAUGACAACUUAUAGGCUUGCUGUUUGGAAUGACAUUUCAUGUACAGCUUCUCUGCAGUGGAUCUGUGAAAAACAACCAUAACUAUGCUCCAUUUUUUGUCUGAGGAUCAUAUAUAUCUGAAGUCAUCUGUUUAAAUACUUUUCAGUUUUAGCUAAGCUUGUCAUUUCAUCCUGUAGCUUUGGUAUUUGGCUGUAGCUGAAUGGGUGCAACCUUGAUAUGGACCUACAGGUGAUAACGCAGCUGUUUCUUCCUAUGCCAAUGUGUUCAUUUUUCUAAAAUCAAUGUAUUAAGAUAAUAAAUCACAAUAAAAAAAAAAUCUAGAUGCCAUUCCUGAA